rnacentral:lncRNA from 1 species
GGGAGAAGUUCCUUUUUCUUGAAAUAGCUAAUGUGAAAUUUCUGAUCACAGAGAGACAUAUCUCUCUGUCUUCUGCAGUUGUAUUCACUAUCCGUGCAAGCUGAAAUAAUUUUUCUUAUCUGAACUAGCAAGAAAUAAAGUCAUAUAUGAAAUCUUUGUCUAUCAGGAAGCUUCUUCCAUCACUUUCUAAGUGACAUGAACUUUUAUAACUGCUAGUCCAAUUUUUACCUGCCUGUAGAGGGCCGGCUUUGGGGAGUUGGAGGGCUUAGGCCAGCCCGGGUCUUACCUGCAGCUUGUACUAAGCCUGACAGCUGUGAAACUCAGGAUGUCGGCUCACCCACCCCCCUGUUCUGUCUCUUGAGAACAGGAUGUAGGAAGGGAGGAAAGGAUGGGGUACAGGACAGGACGCAGGAAAGAAUGUAACAGACAAGCAUCAUACGGCAGCCGGGGACGCAGGCGCUCCCGGCAUUUGGCACUUGGACAGGGACCUGAAAGGAAGGCUUCCCCCGGCAGAGUGGCCCUGGACAAGGUGGGCUGUUUGGCCAACAGCCCUAGAAAAGGAGCUCCGUUCGUCAAGAGAAGACGCUAACAAGAACAUGCAGGAGAACCAGUCUGGGUUCCCGAGAGGAACAUCCGUACCUGUCAGCAUACUGACCGGAGGGAUAGAGACCCUGAGCAUCAAAGGAAAAACUGUUCGGAGAGACAUGCAGAGGAGGAAGGCGAGACUGAGAAGAUGAAGAGCCAAUAAUAAGAUGUUGACUGUCCUUUUUUGCAAUGAUGACUGUCACAGAUGGCUCCAUGAUGGAGUCAUGAUUACAUUGGACUUAUAUGCCUUACCCCACCUUGGGUUAAACCUGUAACUUGAUCACUAUACUUUUGUUUGUGUAACUCCCCAUUUGCUUUCUAAUACUACCAAUGUAACUUCUGAUCAAAUAUUGAAUAAGCUUCAGGGCGCUUGGC